rnacentral:rRNA from 1 species
CAAUAGCGUAUAUUAAAGUUGUUGCGGUAAAAAAGCUCGUAGUUGGAUUUCUGUUGAGGACGACCGGUCCGCACCAUGUGCGCGCAUCUGGCUCGGCCUCGGCAUCCUCUCGAAAGACGUUUCUGCGCUUGAUUGCGUGGGGCGGAGUUCGAGACUUUUACUUUGAGGAAAUUAGAGUGUUCACGGCAGGCUAUCGCCAGAAUACAUUAGCAUGGAAUAAUACUAUAGGAUCUCGAUUCUAUUUUGUUGGUUUCUAGAAGCGAGAUAAUGAUUAAUAGGGACAAUUGGGGGCAUUCGUAUCAACACGUCAGAGGUGGAAUUCUUGGAUUGUGUUGCGACGAACUACUGCGAAAGCAUUUGCCAAGGAUGUUUUCAUUGAUCAAGAACGAAAGUAAGGGGAUCGAAGACGAUCAGAUACCAU